CGGCAGCGACGUGUGUCUAACGU
rnacentral:misc_RNA from 1 species